rnacentral:rRNA from 1 species
CCUACGGGGGGCAGCAGUGAGGAAUAUUGGUCAAUGGACGCAAGUCUGAACCAGCCAUGCCGCGUGCAGGAAGACGGCUCUAUGAGUUGUAAACUGCUUUUGUACGAGGGUAAACGCAGAUACGCGUAUCUGUCUGAAAGUAUCUUACGAAUAAGGAUCGGCGAACUCCGUGCCAGCAGCCGCGGUAAUACGGAGGAUUCAAGCGUUAUCCGGAUUUAUUGGGUUUAAAGGGUGCGUAGGCGGUCGGUUAAGUUAGAGGUGAAAUCCCGAGGCUCAACUUCGGAAUUGCCGUUGAUACUGUCCGGCUAGAGAGUAGUUGCGGUAGGCGGAAUGUAUGGUGUAGCGGUGAAAUGCUUAGAGAUCAUACAGAACACCGAUUGCGAAGGCAGCUUACCAAGCUACUUCUGACGUUGAGGCACGAAAGCGUGGGGAGCAAACAGGAUUAGAUACCCUGGUAGUC